rnacentral:rRNA from 1 species
CGAUUAGGAAGCACCGGCUAACUCCGUGCCAGCAGCCGCGGUGAUACGGGGGGUGCAAGCGUUGUUCGGAAUUAUUGGGCGUAAAGCGCGUGUAGGCGGUUUGAUUAGUCUGAUGUGAAAGCCCUGGGCUCAACCCAGGGAGUGCAUUGGAAACUGUCAGACUUGAAUACGGGAGAGGGUAGUGGAAUUCCUAGUGUAGGAGUGAAAUCCGUAGAUAUUAGGAGGAACACCGGUGGCGAAGGCGGCUACCUGGACCGAUAUUGACGCUGAGACGCGAAAGCGUGGGUAGCAAACAGGAUUAGAUACCCUGGUAGUCCACGCCGUAAACGAUGAGAACUAGGUGUCGCGGGU